rnacentral:lncRNA from 1 species
UAUUGUUAUUACACGGUACAGGCCAUAAGAGGGAACCAUUAGAGGACACUACUUAACCCAGUUCAGUAAUUGAGGCAAGUGAUGUUAGAAAAACACUCAUCCCUACCUGCUAUGUAAACUGCCCAGGAUCAAAGGAGCUUUCCAAGGUACAAUUUUAUCCAAAGGAGGAAAGGACCUCAGUGGGUUCUGCUGGUCACAGAAGACUUCACAUAACAAGUGGGAUUAGAACUGCUAAAUGAAGCACACGUAGGACUUAGGAAGUGAUC